rnacentral:rRNA from 1 species
CGCGUAGGUGGUUUGUUAAGUUGGAUGUGAAAGCCCCGGGCUCAACCUGGGAACUGCAUCCAAAACUGGCAAGCUAGAGUACGGUAGAGGGUGGUGGAAUUUCCUGUGUAGCGGUGAAAUGCGUAGAUAUAGGAAGGAACACCAGUGGCGAAGGCGACAACCUGGACGAGGACUGACGCUGAGACGCGAAAGCGUGGGGAGGCAAAACA